UACGUAGGGUGCAAGCGUUGUCCGGAAUUAUUGGGCGUAAAGAGCUCGUAGGCGGUUGUCGCGUCGGCUGUGAAAACUCGGGGCUCAACCUCGAGACGUCGGCGGAAACCAUCUGGCUAGAGUCCGGAAGAGGAGAGUGGAAUUCCCUGGUGUAGCGGUGAAAUGCGCAGAUAUCAGGAAGAACACCCGUGGCGAAGGCGGCUCUCUGGGACGGUACUGACGCUGAGACGCGAAAGCGUGGGGAGCGAACAGG
rnacentral:rRNA from 1 species